rnacentral:rRNA from 1 species
GACGAACGCUGGCGGCGUGCCUAAUACAUGCAAGUUGAGCGCUGAAGGUUGGUACUUGUACCAACUGGAUGAGCAGCGAACGGGUGAGUAACGCGUGGGGAAUCUGCCUUUUAGCGGGGGACAACAUUUGGAAACGAAUGCUAAUACCGUAUAAAAACUUUAAACACAAGUUUUAAGUUUGAAAGAUGCAAUUGCAUCACUCAAAGAUGAUCCCGCGUUGUAUUAGCUAGUUGGUGAGGUAAAGGCUCACCAAGGCGAUGAUACAUAGCCGACCUGAGAGGGUGAUCGGCCACAUUGGGACUGAGACACGGCCCAAACUCCUACGGGAGGCAGCAGUAGGGAAUCUUCGGCUAUGGACGCAAGUCUGACCGAGCAACGCCGCGUGAGUGAAGAAGGUUUUCGGAUCGUAAAACUCUGUUGGUAGAGAAGAACGUUGGUGAGAGUGGAAAGCUCAUCAAGUGACGGUCACUACCCAGAAAGGGACGGCUAACUACGUG